GAUGAACGCUGGCGGCGUGCUUAACACAUGCAAGUCGAACGGAAAGGCUCCUGCUUGCCGGGGUACUCGAGUGGCGAACGGGUGAGUAACACGUGGGUGUUCUGCCCUGCACUUCGGGAUAAGCCUGGGAAACUGGGUCUAAUACCGGAUAGGACGAUGGUUUGGAUGCCAUUGUGGAAAGUUUUUUCGGUGUGGGAUGAGCUCGCGGCCUAUCAGCUUGUUGGUGGGGUAAUGGUCUACCAAGGCGUAGACGGGUAGCCGGCCUGAGAGGGUGUACGGCCACAUUGGGACUGAGAUACGGCCCAGACUCCUACGUGAGGCAGCAGUGGGGAAUAUUGCACAAUGAGCGCAAGCCUGAUGCAGCGACGCCGCGUGGGGGAUGACGGCCUUCGGGGUGUAAACUCCUUUCGCUAGAGACGAAGCGCAAGUGACGGUACCUGGAGAAGAAGCACCGGCUAACUACGUG
rnacentral:rRNA from 1 species